CGUGAAGACAUCCGCACAUUAAAAGAAAAAGUGUGGGGGGAUGCAGGAAAUGCAUACUGUCUCAAAGAUUCCUGCCCAGUCCUCAACUGUUGAGGAACUUAACAUCCUUGAUAAAUCCCUCAACUGCUUGGAUGAGAAGCUGAGACUGGUAAGAUUAUACCUUUUCAUAUCUGUCAUGCCUUAGGACUGUCUGUGUGUGUUUUCUGUCUUUGUGCUCCCCAUGACUUAGUUCUCCCUCUUGUUCCCUUAUGCCCGUAUUUGGUUUUCCUUUUCCCGUUAAGUCCUCAUUUAGUUAAUUCAGUUCCACCGGUGUUUGAUUAAUAACCUCGUUUAGUUUGUUAUUUAAAACUUGUGUUUCCACUGUCCAGCGUCUGGUGUUAAAUGUCGAUGUUGUGUUUCUCUGCCUGUCUUGUGUUCAGUGUUGCCUAUUUAGCUACUUCUCAACCCCUUUUGAGAUUUUUUUUUUUUCUCAAAUGUUUAGGGACAAAUAUAGCAACUUCUUGAACAAACCUUAUUUAAGUUUUUAUCUUGCCCAUUAAUCUAUAUUCAUCUUUAUAAAGAUCAGUGAAUUUACCAUUAUGAUGUCAUCUAGUGACAUUUAGCUACCAGUUUUAGCUACUUUCAAUUGAAAGCAGUUGGCAACACUGCUUGUGUUACUCCAUUUGAGAAGAUUAAAGACUGUUUCUUUGAGUUUUACCCUCGUCUCCUUGUUCCUCGUUUUGCCACAGAAGGAAACCAUGACAAUAUCUGCAUACCGUAAUUUUUAUAAUGUGAUGUGUUGAGACAUACAGUACUGAACACUGUUAACCUUUUUUGUGGUUAAACUAAAAUACUUUACCUAUGAUUUCAGAUUGAUAGCUUGUCCAGUGUUGGAGGGAUGCACCUGAAGGACAAUGUCAAGAGGGUCAUGGAGAAGUUGAUGACAAACGAGGUCAUGGCCCGUUUCAAUAUGAAGGGGGGGAAGGGGAAGCUUGCUUUCACCAAGCUCAAUCUGUACACUGUUGUCACAGAGAGUGUCCAGAAAACAUCUAAAGAGACGGAGGCAAACAUUGCAGCGGCCAUCGCCUUUUGUUUAAAAUAUGCCCCAGACAGGGCGGGUGGAGGUGGCAGGAAAAAAAGCUGUGAAUAAAACUGAUGUUAAUAUGUUUUGAAAAAUAUUCAGUUCCAAUAAGGUUGGUGUUAAAAUUAAAUUAUUUUGAAAAUGUUCUGUUCCAAUAAUGUUAAUAAUAAAACAAAUAAAUAAAUCAUAUUUGUUAUAAUCCAGUUCAUCUCUUUGUCAUUUUUCUGAUAAAACCACCAAACAUUUGUAAAUUCCAUUUUCAAAUUAAGUUAAACUAUUCUCUUUGCUAAUGUCUUAAAAUUUAAUAAUUUGGUGUAGUCUCACAUUGGAUCUUGAUCUCUCUCUGAUCUUAUUGUUAGAGGUUCUUGGUAUGGUUUUUUUUUGUUGUUUUUUUUUUUUCUCUCUGAAUGUAUAUCUUUCUUUAAAGUUGGAAUUUGACAGCUUGACAAUUUGUUGUUGGUUUUUGACAGAUACCGAUUUUGAUUUUAUUUUCCAUCAAAGCGCAAUCUCUCCGAUGUAGGAGAUUGAUGUUAGUCUGACGUUGGGUUCUGACAUCAACCCGAUUAAAAUUUUCAACCAAAAUGCAACAUAUGUUGGACGUAGCAGAUUGACGUCAGUCUGACGUUUGGUUAUGACGUCAACCAGAUUUUCAUUUUCAACCAAAAUGCAACGUCUUACCAACGUUGGAGAUUGACGUCAGUCUGACGUUUGGUUAUGACGUCAACCAGAUUUUCAUUUUCAACCAAAAUGCAACGUCUUACCAACGUUGGAGAUUGAUGUCAGUAUGACGUUUGGUUAUGACGUCAACCAGAUUUUCAUAUUCAACCAAAAUGCAACGUCUUACCAACGUUGGAGAUUGACGUCAGUCUGACGUUUGGUUAUGACGUCAACCAGAUUUUCAUUUUCAACCAAAAUGCAACGUCUUACCAACGUUGGAGAUUGACGUCAGUCUGACGUUGGGUUAUGAGCGUCAACCAGAUUUUCAUUUUCAACAAAAAUGCAACGUCUUACCAACGUUGGAGAUUGACGUCAAUCUGACGUUUGGUUAUGACGUCAACCAGAUUUUCAUUUUCAACCAAAAUGCAACGUCUUACCAACGUUGGAGAUUGACGUCAGUCUGACGUUUGGUUAUGACGUCAACCAGAUUUUCAUUUUCAACCAAAAUGCAACGUCUUACCAACGUUGGAGAUUGACGUCAGUCUGACGUUUGGUUAUGACGUCAACCAGAUUUUCAUUUUCAACCAAAAUGCAACGUCUUACCAACGUUGGAGAUUGACGUCAGUAUGACGUUUGGUUAUGACGUCAACCAGAUUUUCAUAUUCAACCAAAAUGCAAGUCUUACCAACGUUGGAGAUUGACGUCAGUCUGACGUUUGGUUAUGACGUCAACCAGAUUUUCAUUUUCAACCAAAAUGCAACGUCUUACCAACGUUGGAGAUUGACGUCAGUCUGACGUUUGGUUAUGACGUCAACCAGAUUUUCAUAUUCAACCAAAAUGCAACGUCUUACCAACGUUGGAGAUUGACGUCAGUCUGACGUUUGGUUAUGACGUCAACCAGAUUUUCAUAUUCAGCAAAAAUGCAACGUCUUACCAACGUUGGAGAUUGACGUCAGUCUGACGUUUGGUUAUGACGUCAACUAGAUUUUCAUUUUCAACCAAAAUGCAACGUCUUACCAACGUUGGAGAUUGACGUCAGUAUGACGCUGGGUUCUGACGUCUACCGGAUUUCCAAUUUCAACCAAAAUGCAACGUCUGAUCAACGUUGGAGAUGGACGUCAGACUGACAUUUGGUUAUGACGUCAACCAGAUUUUCAUUUUCAACCAAAAUGCAACGUCUUUCUGACGUAGUGGUCCAACGUCAAUCUGACGUUAUAUUGACGUCCGGUGCCUGCUGGGAUAGUACAAUCAAUUUCAAUCAAACUGAAUGAUUGAUCCAUUCAAAUGUCAGUCAGAUGCUGCCUUUCUCUCUAAUUGAGCAGUUCUUGGCCCAAAGAAAAUGCAAUCUAAACCAGAUUUAUGCCGUUGGUCAAAAGUCUGGCAACACAAGACAAGACGCAAGAGACACCUGUAAACUGCAUUGGAG
ensembl:lncRNA